rfam:Pteropus alecto contig95642, whole genome shotgun sequence.
GUCUACGGCCAUGCUACCCUGAACAAGCCCGAUCCUGUCUGAUCUCAGAAGCUAAGCAGGGUCGGGCCUGGUUAGUACUUGGAUGGGAGACCACUUAGAAAGACCAGGUGCUGUAGGCA